AUAUCAGCCACCUCCAUCUCUGAAAAGAGAACCAUUACUUUUUCUCAGAAACCAGUUUAUCUCUUUUAAAAAUCCAAUCUCUCUUCAUUACUGACACCUGAACAUGUUGUCUAUUUAGCCAAUUUUCUAGGCCAAGAAAAACAGCAGUUCCACAGUGCACUCUAAAUCUCCAGACCCCAGAAGAUUAUAUCAACUCGAUGAGGUCCAGAAUUGAGGCUUUCCAGGGAGUACUGUAAGAGCCAUUUCGCCUGGAAGAAAACAGUUGAGACAGAACUCCACUCCUCUCCUGCACCUAACAAUAGCCUAAAGGGAUCCUGUGUGCAUGGACAAAACAGAGGCAGAUGAUAGGAUAUUCUACCUAAAAGCAGAUAUUCUACAAAAGCAGAAAGCAAGCUCACUGUCCAUACUGAUCACAGCAAAGCGGCUGGACAAGAAUGCUUGGGUUCUGGAACUCAUCAGGGAAGAGGACCUGAGUUUGGUGCCAAGCACCCACACAGCAGGUCACACACAUUCAUAGCUCCAGGUCCAGGGAAUCUGAGGGCCUCUGCUGGUCUUCUAGGACACCAGACACACAAGUGGCACAGAAUCAAUCGUACAUGUAAGUAAACACCCAUACAAAGAAAAAUAAAAAUGUUAAUAAGCCAUUUUAUAGAUAUCUU
rnacentral:lncRNA from 1 species